rnacentral:rRNA from 1 species
UUUGGUACCCCGAGCGGCGUGGCCCCACCUCUUCCCAUUCCGAACAGAGAAGUGAAACGCGCCAGCGCCGAUGAUACUUGGACCCAACCCGGUCCUGGGAAAGUAGGCCGGUGCCAGAA